UACGAGAGGCAACAACAUGGUCUUUCAAUCAGAGCUCUGCAUUUUCAGGGUAUCUUCCCACUACAGUAUGUGGUUUGUCUGAAAAGCUUCCAGGGAGUUAAAAUGGAAAAGUGAAAGGAUUAGUGGCAGAGAAAAAAAUGGACAUUUGUCAGGAUGAAGGAGGGACUGAACUGGAACUCACAGCACACAUUCGUCUUCUGAUCUCAUGAAACUUCCAGAGUGAUUUCACAGUGUCCUGGUGCUUUUUUUGGACAGCAGUUGGCGCUUAGUGUCGCAUGGUAAUCUUGUUUAUAUGGGAGCUUUUUGUUUCGGAAUAAUGUUGGUGACCAAAUAACAUGGUAAUUUUCUUUUUUGCAGUACAUGUCCUGCUGAAAAGAUAGAGAGAUACAGAGUGAGCUGGAAUGAGAUGGAGAACAUACCCAUAAUUACAAGAAGAACAAAAAGCACCAACAAAGCCAUUCAGUCUUCUCCAAAUUGCAAAGAGGAAUUCCAAGAAGAUUCAUCAAUAUACUGUAAAUGAAGAGGCACUUGAAUUCCUUUGUCCGUUCCCCAGCCUCUGAGGUCUAUAAUGAGAGAGAAUAAACACGGCUUUAUCACCAGGGAGGAUUUAAACAGACAAGCAUGGGAGGAGAGCUUAACGGUUUCAAGGACAAGAGGUGUUUAAUUUUUCAGCUGAUAAUCAUCCACCCAUUUAGCAUAUGUCACACAGCGCGCUAAUCAUCAAUCACCUUUUAAUGAACUGCACCGCAUUUCCUGCACUGUUCAAUCGUCGUUUGUUUCAGAAAGCUUCCUUUAUAAUGUCCAUCUCUUUAUUGUUUUGUGAAUCAUUUAGUUAGAGUGUGUCUGUAUAUGUGUGUGUAUUGUGAUUAUUCGCA